GAUGAACGCUGGCGGCGUGCCUAAUACAUGCAAGUCGAGCGAACGGACGAGAAGCUUGCUUCUCUGAUGUUAGCGGCGGACGGGUGAGUAACACGUGGAUAACCUACCUAUAAGACUGGGAUAACUUCGGGAAACCGGAGCUAAUACCGGAUAAUAUUUUGAACCGCAUGGUUCAAAAGUGAAAGACGGUCUUGCUGUCACUUAUAGAUGGAUCCGCGCUGCAUUAGCUAGUUGGUAAGGUAACGGCUUACCAAGGCAACGAUGCAUAGCCGACCUGAGAGGGUGAUCGGCCACACUGGAACUGAGACACGGUCCAGACUCCUACGGGAGGCAGCAGUAGGGAAUCUUCCGCAAUGGGCGAAAGCCUGACGGAGCAACGCCGCGUGAGUGAUGAAGGUCUUCGGAUCGUAAAACUCUGUUAUUAGGGAAGAACAUAUGUGUAAGUAACUGUGCACAUCUUGACGGUACCUAAUCAGAAAGCCACGGCUAACUACGUGCCAGCAGCCGCGGUAAUACGUAGGUGGCAAGCGUUAUCCGGAAUUAUUGGGCGUAAAGCGCGCGUAGGCGGUUUUUUAAGUCUGAUGUGAAAGCCCACGGCUCAACCGUGGAGGGUCAUUGGAAACUGGAAAACUUGAGUGCAGAAGAGGAAAGUGGAAUUCCAUGUGUAGCGGUGAAAUGCGCAGAGAUAUGGAGGAACACCAGUGGCGAAGGCGACUUUCUGGUCUGUAACUGACGCUGAUGUGCGAAAGCGUGGGGAUCAAACAGGAUUAGAUACCCUGGUAGUCCACGCCGUAAACGAUGAGUGCUAAGUGUUAGGGGGUUUCCGCCCCUUAGUGCUGCAGCUAACGCAUUAGGCACUCCGCCUGGGGAGUACGACCGCAAGGUUGAAACUCAAAGGAAUUGACGGGGACCCGCACAAGCGGUGGAGCAUGUGGUUUAAUUCGAAGCAACGCGAAGAACCUUACCAAAUCUUGACAUCCUUUGACAACUCUAGAGAUAGAGCUUUCCCCUUCGGGGGACAAAGUGACAGGUGGUGCAUGGUUGUCGUCAGCUCGUGUCGUGAGAUGUUGGGUUAAGUCCCGCAACGAGCGCAACCCUUAAGCUUAGUUGCCAUCAUUAAGUUGGGCACUCUAAGUUGACUGCCGGUGACAAACCGGAGGAAGGUGGGGAUGACGUCAAAUCAUCAUGCCCCUUAUGAUUUGGGCUACACACGUGCUACAAUGGACAAUACAAAGGGCAGCGAAACCGCGAGGUCAAGCAAAUCCCAUAAAGUUGUUCUCAGUUCGGAUUGUAGUCUGCAACUCGACUACAUGAAGCUGGAAUCGCUAGUAAUCGUAGAUCAGCAUGCUACGGUGAAUACGUUCCCGGGUCU
rnacentral:rRNA from 1 species